GAGAUGUGUCACCUUUUUCAGCCCUUCUGAGUUUGCAGGAGCCUCCACUUAAGCUUUUACCAGGGUUGUAUUACACUGCCGUGUUCCUACAAGAAGACUUUGCAUUGCAAGAGCAAGACCUGCAGACUUUACAAGGCUGCGGCGCUGACUCUGCACUUCUCCCCUGGGAUUUGAGGGUUUUAAACUAUAGCGCAGUCACAUUCAAGCGCGAUCCCUCCUUAGCCCCUCUAACAGCACAGCUGCCUCUGAUUUCACAACACGUUCCCCCCUAAGGGGCGACUGUAAACAAGCCUUCGGCAUCACUCCACCCAACACAAGCUUGAAGACAGAGAGGAAGACAGACGCUAGACAGACGGCGUUCUCCGCCGGGGAAAAAAGGAACAAAGCAGAGACCCAAGAAGUACAUCACCAACAGCAUCCCUUCAGAAGCAGCCUUUUGUGACACACGCAUGGAAUCUACACAGAGGCAAUGAAGGCAUGCCCUUGCGGUUUGAAGAUGCAACGGAAAACAGAAGGCUUUUUUUGAUCCAAUUUAUUUAACAUCCCCAGUCUCUCACAUGUUUGCAUAAGAGUCUGUGAUAAAAGUGUCAAGCCAUCACAUUCCCACAGAAUGUGUAUAGAAAUGUAAGAAAAAUGGAAUAAACUCAGGUGCCACGCCAGAAUUCCUUCAAAUCCGCCUCAGAAAAAGGUUCUUACCCAAAGUUUUCACUUAAACUCUCAAGAAUUUUGGCUUUCGAGAGAUGAUGAUGGACCUGUACUUUUGGGAGUAUUUUGACUUAAUCCAUGUAAUCUCAGUCUCUCUCUUACUCACACAAACUCCUUUCCCCUUUAACACAAGUCCAUUCAGACCACUCUGCCCAAGCUACAUCAACUUUCUCUCCAUUACUUGCUCUAAAUCUUGUAUUUUAUAAAGUGUGAGACACUCUAAAAGCUAAGCUCUGCUGUUCCUUCAAGAAGUUCAGAGAGCCUUUUUGGCACAUUCUUAGCUUUUUCCUUCCAUUUUUCCAAUCACAAAAUUGGGCUAUUUUUCAUAUUUACUUUGACAUAUUGCUGUCAAUGUUUCAAAUGUGCUAUGUUUUAAUAUCAACAAAUCAUUACCACAUAAAAAUUGGGACAAAAGCUCAUAUUCGGCCUUCAAGACUUGAGAUAAUUACACCGGUUUGUGGUGCAGUUUCUCUUAUGUCUGGAUUGCCAAUGAUAUCCAAAAGCUUGAAACGAGUAUUGAGACAAUGGCACUUGAUUUUACAGAAGUAAUGAAACUGAUUUACACUGAAAAGAGCUUAAGUUAUUUCAGUCUGCACUUGUUUUAAAUACAAAGACUCUAAAAAACAAGUGCAGACUGAAACAACUGGUUAUUCUAUCCAAGUCAUGCCUACAUAAUAUUUUUCAGUCUGACAAAUUUGAAAUCUUUGAAACGUGAGGUGGGCAAAUUGGUCUUAAAGAUGUAGAAUUGCAAACUCUCAGUGCUACUGGUUAAGUUUAUUUGUGAUUUCUUAGACCGCUUCUGGUUUACACCUUGCUCUGCCACACAUGGACUCAUAUCUUAUUCUAUUACAUUCGGGGCAAAUGACUCAAAUAAACGAUUGUAGAAACAUGA